GACAACUCUAUCAUGUCAUUGGGAUCCAUUCUUAGAGCUUUAGCCAUUAGGUCAAGGAUUUUCAAGGUAAGAUUUUUAAGCCUCGUUAAGUAAACUUCCAAGUCAUCUCUGCAUGCAAAUAACGAUAUAUAGUCCAUUAAUUAUCAUAUGAUAGAGUAUACUAUGCAGCAAAACUCUACGAUUUAAAUAUAGAACCUGAAUGGGAGAGGCAACUUGGGGAACAAGUGGGGUUUCCUCAGAUGGGUUGGGAGAGUGAACAUAGUAAAGCCGUAUCCCCAAUCAAGCUUCUGCUCUUCAGACGUAAUAAAAAACUGCCCAAAUCCCUCAAUAUCUUCUAGCUGCUGCCAAAAUAUUGGGAACAUGUGCAUAGAGCAACUAACAUGUGCAUGUGCAGUAACUAACGUGUGCAUAGAGUAACUAAUGUGUGCAUGUGCAGUAACUGUUGUAAUAUUCUCUUUGUAUAGCAUUUGUAUUCCAUUAAGAAUAGAAUUAGCAACUUUUGUAUUCCAUUAGGAAUAGAAGGAGCAUAUUUAGGAGACUAUUUAGAGAUUUCGUAGCUAUCUUUGAUUUUAUGGUAUAGGUGUAUAUAUGAAUAACCGUGUGAUAUACAAUAAACAUACAGAUUUCUUCCCCUCUCACAAAUGUUUUCAUAGUAUCAGAGCCUUGAGCCGAACCUUCUAAUAAAUCAAAAUUUUUCCAUAGCCGGCGCUGAAGCUAAGCACCAUGGCUGAAAGGGAAAAGGAAAACUGAAAUAUGAUAGAUUCAUCUUCACUUUAUUAUCUUCAUCCCUCUGAUCAUACGGGCAUGAUUAUAUCCCCGGUGAAAUUAAAUGGUGAGAAUUAUAAAGAGUGGUCACGCUCGAUGCGUAAUGCAUUUCGGGCAAGAAGAAAACAAUCGUUUUUGAAUGGCAAGAUUGAGAAACCUGCCGAAGAUGCUCCUGAAAUUGAAGAUUGGUGGAGUGUGAAUUCAAUGCUUGUAGGAUAGAUAUUUACAUCUUUUGAACUGCAUAUUCGUUCAACAAUCACCUACUAUGAUACUGUUAAGGAACUCUGGGAUGAAUUAAAAUUGAGAUUCUCAAUUGGGAAUGGACCACGGGUGCUGCAGUUGCGAUCCGAUCUGGCCAAAUGUAGACAAGAUGGGCAGACAGUAGCAACCUAUUUUGGACGUCUCAAGAUUCUGUGGGAUAAACUUAGCAACUAUGUUCAACCUCCUGUCUGCUCUUGCGGCAACUGCACUUGUAAUCUGUCGACGCAGUGGGAAAAACAAAGGGAAUAAGAACGUGUUCACCAAUUCUUGAUAGGACUUGAUGAUACGAUUUAUGGGACGGUUCGUUCUAAUAUUAUUGCUCAAGAUCCUCUUCCCUCACAAAGUCGUGCUUAUGCCUUGGUGGUACAAGAGGAAAGACAUCAAACCAUUACAAGGACAUGUGAUGUGCGUGUCGAAGCCGUGAGCUUUGCUGUCCAAGCACCUAAGGCACAACAAGGAGCUGCUGCGUCUUUUUCGAAUAAUGCAAAUGGAGAAAAAUCAGUGUGUAAACAUUGUGGCCAAACCGGUCAUGAGAUAUCAUCUUGCUUCAAGAUUAUUGGAUAUCUGGAGUGGUGGAUUGCUAAUCGUGGAAAGGGUAACAUAAGCGGACGAGGGCAGACAAAUAAUUCUGCUGGGCGUAGUAAAUCGCAUGCUGCUGUGGCUAACGCUGCUCUUAUGCAUGCUGGUGGAGGAGGAAACCAGGCUAGUCCGACUCUGUCAGCACAAGAUCGGGCUGCCCUUGCAUCUACUCUCACGGAUGAUCAAUGGGCAACUAUGGUGAAUAUGCUUAAUUCACAAAAUAAGGAUGUUUCAAAAGAAAAGCUUUCUAGUAAGUGGAUUCUUAAUACAGGGGCUUCGAGACAUAUGACAGGAAGCAGAGAAUUAAUGACUGAUCUGUAAAAUAUUGGGCCUUCGCCCAUAGGUCUUCCAAACGGCACAUGCUCUCAUGCUCAGUGCGAGGGCACUGUUGAGUUUGGAAACAAUUUGAGAUUGAAUCAUGUUCUAUAUGUACCUGAUCUUAAUUGCAAUUUAAUUUCUUUGGCUUGCUUGAUUAAUGAUUUGCAGUGCCUUGUCACUUUAACUGACAAGCUGUGUGUGAUAUAGGACCGCACUAUGAGGACUUUGAUUGGUGUGGGUGAGCAAGAAGACGGGGUCUAUAUUUUUCAGAGUCCGGCAUCAGCAAAAGUGUGUCGUGUCUCUGUAGAAGGAAAUUAUUAUCUAUGGCAUCGGCGGUUAGGUCAUGCUUCUAAUAAGAUUAUUUCUUUACUUCCUGGUGUUAGCAAAAUGGAAUGUCAGAAAUUUCGUGAUGAACCAUGUGAUAUUUGUUUUAAAGCAAAACAAACUCGAAAUGUUUUUCUUAUUAGUAUGAAUAAAGCCAAUGAUAUGUUUGCACUAGUGCAUUGUGAUGUGUGGGGUGCUUAUCGUAUUCCAUCUUCUUGUGGUACUCAUUAUUUUAUUUCCAUUGUUGAUGAUUAUUCACGAGGAGUUUGGGUUUAUUUGAUGGCACAUAAAUCUGAGGUGGCUUAAUUUUUCAAAAAUUUUGUGCUAUGGCCAAGACUCAAUUCAAUAGGCAAGUUAAAAUGGUACGAAGUGAUAACGGUACAGAAUUUAAAGUUUUGAAUUCUUUUUUUGCUGAAAAUGGCAUUAAAUUUCAAGCUUCUUGUGUGGAUACGCCUCAACAAAAUGGGUGUGUCGAACGGAAACACCGUCAUCUUCUCAAUGUUGGGCGUGCCUUAAGGUUUCAAGCCAACUUGCCUUUAAUUUUUAGGGAGAAUGUAUUUUAAGUGCUGCUUAUAUAAUUAAUGGCACUCCCACUCCUUUACUUGAUGGAAAAACUCCUUAUGAAUUAUUGCAUGGUAAGCCUCCUCCGUAUGCUCAUUUUCAUAGUUUUGGGUGUUUGUGCUAUGCUCGUUAUGUUCCUUGUGACAAGAAUAAAUUCAAUUCUAGAAGUAGGCAGUGUGUAUUUGUCGGCUAUCCCCAUGGAAAGAAAUGUUGGAGAGUCUUUGAUUUAGAAACCAAUGAAUUUUUUGUGUCCCGUGAUGUGGUGUUUUUUUAGGAUACAUUUCUGUAUCAUGAUAUCUCAUUGGAUUGCUCUCCUGCUCAUGAUCCUUACGUCACACAUGAUUCUUUACGGGUGCAACAUGUUGAGUCUCAUAUUCCUUCAUUUGGUAGUAACAGAGACGUUUCCUCCAAUGACGCUCAGGAGGAACCGAAGUCUAAUGAUAGGGGGAGCCCAUCCUCCCCUCAUGCAGUGUCCGAUUUGUCCUCUGAUUUAGCUGCCCUCCAUGACAGGGGGAGCUCUUAUUCUGAUGUUUCACUCUCUUUGCCAUCAUCUGCUAAUGAGAAUAUUGGUAUCUCUGUUCGUCGGAGUACACAGCCAAAAAUUCCCAACACUCAUUUGCGUGAUUUUGUGUGUCAUACAACUCGAGUUAUAGACCUCGCCUCCUUAUCCCCUGCACCACCACUGUCCUCAGGUAUGUCUUAUCCCAUAGCUAAUUUUGUGACUUGUGCUAAUUUUUCUGCAAAUCAUUCUCGUUUCCUAGCGGCUAUUACUACUCUUACUGAGCCCACUAGGUAUUCUGAGGCUGUAAAAGACCCUCGUUGGCGUGAAGCCAUGGCCAAGGAGAUUGACGCUCUCGAACAAAAUGAGACUUGGACACUAGCUGAUCUUCCUCCGGGCAAAAAGGCUAUUGGUUGCAAAUGGGUCUACCGCAUCAAGUACCAUUCUGAUGGCAGUAUUGAGAGGUGCAAAGCUUAACUAGUUAUCCUUGGUAAUAACCAGAUUGAAGGGGUGGAUUAUAAUGAGACUUUUGCACCAGUUGCUAAAAUGGUUUUUAUUCGAACUCUCUUAGCUGUUGUCAUUGCUCGAGAUUAGGAGUUACAUUAGAUGGAUGUACAUAACGCUUUUCUUCAUGGUGACCUUGCUGAGGAAGUGUACAUGCAACUUCCUCCAGGUUUUUCGACUACUUCUUCUAGUAAAGUAUGUCGUCUUCGUAAAUCUUUAUAUGGUCUUCGUCAAGCCCCUCGUAAUUGGUUUGCUAAGCUUGCUGGUGCCUUGAAAUCUUUUGGAUUUGACCAAUCAUAUGCCGAUUACUCUCUUUUUACAUUUGCGAGUCAUGAUAUUUCUAUUCGUGUGCUUGUUUAUGUUGAUGACUUGAUUAUUGCGGGGAAUAAUACUACUGCUAUCUCUGCUUUUAAAGCCUAUUUAAGCCGUUGUUUUCACAUGAAGGAUUUGGGUGUUCUUAAGUAUUUUCUGGGCAUCGAGAUCUCUCGAGGACCUACUGGCAUGUUCUUAUCUCAACGCAAACACACGUUGGAUAUUUUGGCUGAAACCGGUCUUCUUGGUGCAAAACCAACUCGAUAUCCUAUUGACCAAAAUCAUCGUCUUGCUCUUGAUGAUGGUCCUAUGUAUUCUGAUCCUGUACGGUAUCGCAGGCUCAUUGGUCGCUUAAUUUAUUUGACUAUUACUCGUCCCGAGCUUUGUUAUUCAGUUCAUGUUCUGGCUCAAUUUAUGUAAUGUCCUCGUGAGAUUCAUUGGGAGGCCGCUACUCGUGUCUUGCGCUAUCUAAAAGGUCACCCAAGUCAAGGUAUUUUCUUACGACGGAAUAGUGCCCUUCAACUUAUUGCCUAUUGUGACUCGGAUUGGGGCGCUUGUCCUCUUACCCGUCCUUCUCUUACUGGUUAUUUCAUUUUUUUGGGUGGUUCUCCCAUUUCCUGGAAGACAAUAAAACAACAUAUUGUCUCUCGUUCUUCGGCUGAAGCAGAGUAUCGGUCUAUGGCUUUCACUUGUUGUGAAUUAAGUUGGUUGAAGGCUUUGUUAAAGUCUCUUGGUGUUUCGCAUUCUCUACCAAUGCGUCUUUACUAUGAUAGUCAGGCAGCGCUUUAUAUUGCUGCCAAUCCUGUUUUUCAUGAGCGCACUAAGCACAUUGAAAUUGAUUGCCACUAUAUGCCGCACCAAAUCCAUGCUGGUAAUAUUGCUGCUUCUCAUGUUCGUACUUCAGAGCAACUUGCAGACAUUUUCACAAAGGCGCUUGGUCGACACUAGUUUGAGAAUAUCCUUCGCAAGUUGGGCAUUCGUGAUCUUCAUGCUCCAACUUGAGGGGGAGUAUUGGGAACGUGUGCAUAGAGCAACUAACAUGUGCAUGUGCAGUAACUAAUGUGUGCAUGGAGCAACUAACGUGUGCAUGUGCAGUAACUGUUGUAAUAUUCUCUUUUUAUAGCAUUUGUAUUCCAUUAGGAAUAGAAUGAGCAGCUUUUGUAUUCCAUUAGGAAUAAAAGGAGACUAUUUAGAGAUUUCGUAGCUAUCUUUGAUUUUGGGGUAUAGGUGUAUAUAUGAAUAACCGUGUGAUAUACAAUAAACAUACAGAUUUCUUCCACUCUCAGAAACAUUUUCACAAAAUUUCUUUUUCUCAUCAAUUGGAAGAUUAAAGAAGUCUUGAAUCUUGCUUUCACUUUCUCCACCAAUGAACUGCUCACUCCAUGAUUCAUCAACUGCAUAUAUGCAGAUUAAAACAAGAUGUUCUUUCCAUACAUGGUUCUUAUAGGAAACUUAAAGCUCAGGAAAUAAAAUGAUUUUUAUGGAAAAUGCUAAAAACACCGAGAGCCGAAAGAACGCUAACAAAAGUAAUGAUUUGCAAUCAAGUAAGUAUUUUUAUUAUCUGAAUAUCACUGCUCAAUUAUUAUGUACCUGAAAGAAACCCCAGUCUUUACAUGCAUGG
rnacentral:lncRNA from 1 species